UCAACAAGCUCUUUGGACAGUCUCUAACUCCUGUAAUGCAAGAUUUGGAACAUUUGGUGGUGAGGAGACAACCAGAAGACUGCAGUCUGCAACCCAGAAGAAGACUCUCAUCCAAACCCAACCAUACUGACACCCUGAUCUUAGACUUCCAGCAUCCAAAACUUUGUAUGGCGGAUGCACCUGAAAGCAGUCACUUAAGCAUACCCUGAGAAUGACCUGUGGCCUUAGAAGAGUGUGUGUUCGGAGUCCUGCGCUAAGGAACCUGGGAGUGGCCAAUCCAGAGUUUCUUUCCUUGUCUAUGAAGCAUGUCUGAACCUCCGACCCAUCCCUUGGAAUGCAGGUUGUAUAGGGGAUUGAGGCCCUUUGUUAUGGGUUAGAUGGAGGGUGCAAAGUAAAAAUGCUAGGUAAACUGCAUGCUUUUUACAAACAGUAGGUGUUCUGUCCAACUCACCACCACUGAACAGUCCCUGUGGGUGCAUUCCCCCAGUAAACCCUAUAUAUCAU